AGCGAACGCUGGCGGCAGGCCUAACACGUGCAAAUCGAACGGACCCUUCGGGGUUAGUGGCGGACGGGUGAGUAACACGUGGGAACGUGCCUUUAGGUUCGGAAUAGCCCCUGGAAACGGGUGGUAAUGCCGAAUGUGCCCUUCGGGGGAAAGAUUUAUCGCCUUUAGAGCGGCCCGCGUCUGAUUAGCUAGUUGGUGAGGUAACGGCUCACCAAGGCGACGAUCAGUAGCUGGUCUGAGAGGAUGACCAGCCACACUGGGACUGAGACACGGCCCAGACUCCUACGGGAGGCAGCAGUGGGGAAUCUCGCGCAAUGGGCGAAAGCCUGACGCAGCCACGCCGCGUGAAUGAUGAAGGUCUUAGGAUUGUAAAAUUCUUUCACCGGGGACGAUAAUGACGGUACCCGGAGAAGAAGCCCCGGCUAACUUCGUGCCAGCCGCCGCCGUAA
rnacentral:rRNA from 1 species